rnacentral:rRNA from 1 species
GGGUUGUGAGGUUAAGCGACUAAGCGUACACGGUGGAUGCCCUGGCAGUCAGAGGCGAUGAAGGACGUGCUAAUCUGCGAUAAGCGUCGGUAAGGUGAUAUGAACCGUUAUAACCGGCGAUUUCCGAAUGGGGAAACCCAGUGUGAUUCGUCACACUAUCAUUAACUGAAUCCAUAGGUUAAUGAGGCGAACCGGGGGAACUGAAACAUCUAAGUACCCCGAGGAAAAGAAAUCAACCGAGAUUCCCCCAGUAGCGGCGAGCGAACGGGGAGCAGCCCAGAGCCUGAAUCAGUGUGUGUGUUAGUGGAAGCGUCUGGAAAGGCGCGCGAUACAGGGUGACAGCCCCGUACACAAAAAUGCACAUGCUGUGAGCUCGAUGAGUAGGGCGGGACACGUGGUAUCCUGUCUGAAUAUGGGGGGACCAUCCUCCAAGGCUAAAUACUCCUGACUGACCGAUAGUGAACCAGUACCGUGAGGGAAAGGCGAAAAGAACCCCGGCGAGGGGAGUGAAAAAGAACCUGAAACCGUGUACGUACAAGCAGUGGGAGCACGCUUAGGCGUGUGACUGCGUACCUUUUGUAUAAUGGGUCAGCGACUUAUAUUCUGUAGCAAGGUUAACCGAAUAGGGGAGCCGAAGGGAAACCGAGUCUUAACUGGGCGUUAAGUUGCAGGGUAUAGACCCGAAACCCGGUGAUCUAGCCAUGGGCAGGUUGAAGGUUGGGUAACACUAACUGGAGGACCGAACCGACUAAUGUUGAAAAAUUAGCGGAUGACUUGUGGCUGGGGGUGAAAGGCCAAUCAAACCGGGAGAUAGCUGGUUCUCCCCGAAAGCUAUUUAGGUAGCGCCUCGUGAAUUCAUCUCCGGGGGUAGAGCACUGUUUCGGCAAGGGGGUCAUCCCGACUUACCAACCCGAUGCAAACUGCGAAUACCGGAGAAUGUUAUCACGGAGACACACGGCGGGUGCUAACGUCCGUCGUGAAGAGGGAAACAACCCAGACCGCCAGCUAAGGUCCCAAAGUCAUGGUUAAGUGGGAAACGAUGUGGGAAGGCCCAGACAGCCAGGAUGUUGGCUUAGAAGCAGCCAUCAUUUAAAGAAAGCGUAAUAGCUCACUGGUCGAGUCGGCCUGCGCGGAAGAUGUAACGGGGCUAAACCAUGCACCGAAGCUGCGGCAGCGACGCUUAUGCGUUGUUGGGUAGGGGAGCGUUCUGUAAGCCUGUGAAGGUGUGCUGUGAGGCAUGCUGGAGGUAUCAGAAGUGCGAAUGCUGACAUAAGUAACGAUAAAGCGGGUGAAAAGCCCGCUCGCCGGAAGACCAAGGGUUCCUGUCCAACGUUAAUCGGGGCAGGGUGAGUCGACCCCUAAGGCGAGGCCGAAAGGCGUAGUCGAUGGGAAACAGGUUAAUAUUCCUGUACUUGGUGUUACUGCGAAGGGGGGACGGAGAAGGCUAUGUUGGCCGGGCGACGGUUGUCCCGGUUUAAGCGUGUAGGCUGGUUUUCCAGGCAAAUCCGGAAAAUCAAGGCUGAGGCGUGAUGACGAGGCACUACGGUGCUGAAGCAACAAAUGCCCUGCUUCCAGGAAAAGCCUCUAAGCAUCAGGUAACAUCAAAUCGUACCCCAAACCGACACAGGUGGUCAGGUAGAGAAUACCAAGGCGCUUGAGAGAACUCGGGUGAAGGAACUAGGCAAAAUGGUGCCGUAACUUCGGGAGAAGGCACGCUGAUAUGUAGGUGAAGUCCCUUGCGGAUGGAGCUGAAAUCAGUCGAAGAUACCAGCUGGCUGCAACUGUUUAUUAAAAACACAGCACUGUGCAAACACGAAAGUGGACGUAUACGGUGUGACGCCUGCCCGGUGCCGGAAGGUUAAUUGAUGGGGUCAGCGCAAGCGAAGCUCUUGAUCGAAGCCCCGGUAAACGGCGGCCGUAACUAUAACGGUCCUAAGGUAGCGAAAUUCCUUGUCGGGUAAGUUCCGACCUGCACGAAUGGCGUAAUGAUGGCCAGGCUGUCUCCACCCGAGACUCAGUGAAAUUGAACUCGCUGUGAAGAUGCAGUGUACCCGCGGCAAGACGGAAAGACCCCGUGAACCUUUACUAUAGCUUGACACUGAACAUUGAGCCUUGAUGUGUAGGAUAGGUGGGAGGCUUGGAAGUGUGGACGCCAGUCUGCAUGGAGCCGACCUUGAAAUACCACCCUUUAAUGUUUGAUGUUCUAACGUUGACCCGUAAUCCGGGUUGCGGACAGUGUCUGGUGGGUAGUUUGACUGGGGCGGUCUCCUCCUAAAGAGUAACGGAGGAGCACGAAGGUUGGCUAAUCCUGGUCGGACAUCAGGAGGUUAGUGCAAUGGCAUAAGCCAGCUUGACUGCGAGCGUGACGGCGCGAGCAGGUGCGAAAGCAGGUCAUAGUGAUCCGGUGGUUCUGAAUGGAAGGGCCAUCGCUCAACGGAUAAAAGGUACUCCGGGGAUAACAGGCUGAUACCGCCCAAGAGUUCAUAUCGACGGCGGUGUUUGGCACCUCGAUGUCGGCUCAUCACAUCCUGGGGCUGAAGUAGGUCCCAAGGGUAUGGCUGUUCGCCAUUUAAAGUGGUACGCGAGCUGGGUUUAGAACGUCGUGAGACAGUUCGGUCCCUAUCUGCCGUGGGCGCUGGAGAACUGAGGGGGGCUGCUCCUAGUACGAGAGGACCGGAGUGGACGCAUCACUGGUGUUCGGGUUGUCAUGCCAAUGGCACUGCCCGGUAGCUAAAUGCGGAAGAGAUAAGUGCUGAAAGCAUCUAAGCACGAAACUUGCCCCGAGAUGAGUUCUCCCUGACUCCUUGAGAGUCCUGAAGGAACGUUGAAGACGACGACGUUGAUAGGCCGGGUGUGUAAGCGCAGCGAUGCGUUGAGCUAACCGGUACUAAUGAACCGUGAGGCUUAACCUUACAACGCCGAAG